GUCCCAACGCUGCUUACUUACCAGAGAACCCUUGAGGACAUGUUGGAGACAUUUGGUGCGGUCUGUGCUGUGAAUUCCCCAGAAGAGCUAGAGGGGAUGCAUGCUGCAGCUUAGAGGUUUCUUCAGCCCAGUAUUCUCCCAUUGUGCUGUUCCUGGUUAUGUUUAGCAACCAGUGGCACCCAGUGUGGGGCUCAAAUGACCAGUGAACUGAAGUAUUUGGAAAAUCAACUGAAGAACACUGAAGAGUUCUGGUCCAGGAAGGAACACACCAGGACCACGCUUCAAGACCAUCAGGAUAACAAUGGGGCAAACUAAAAGCAAAAGGGCUAAGUAUUUUGAGCUGAUAAAGAUGCUGCUGGCAGUGUCAGGAGUAAAAGUAAAGAGAAGAGAUUUUGAGGAUCUAGCCUGUUAUAUGGAGAAAUAUUGUUGCCCGUUGUCUCCACAAGGAAUGCUGCAAACGCAGCAGUGGAAGGAGGUGGUCGGGGCCUUUGAAAGGGCUGGCAGCCAGGGGAAAAUAAUCCCAUGUAAAAUUUGGGUUUUAUGCCAUUUAAUUACAGUGGUGUUGCAGCCUUCUCAAACUCCUCCACCAUCAGAGUGUGGGUCUGUUUGGGAAGUUCCGGUGUAGAACCAGGAUAAGGAUGGAGACUCUCCAUCUUGUGACAAAGAACAUUAAAAAUGUGAAGCCUGGGAGAGUGAGGAGGAGUCUGCCUCCAGGAAUCCCAUGUAAUCCUCAAGGACAAGCCAUUGUGGAAUGAAAUAACCAGGUCACUGGACCCCCAAAGAACAAAAAGCAAUGGCAUUAUAUACCCUUAACUUUGACAGUGUGACUUUUCCAUCCAAUACUUCAGCAGCAGAUAAACAUCAGAAGGAUCUGAAAAAAAAAAUGCAGUCCUCAUGUCAGCUUAUAUGAUGAAGGGAUGACAAUAACUGGAAAUCCGGAACUGUCAAAGUACAGGGCCAUGGUUGUGCUUGUGUCUCCACAGAUUAUGCAGAUGUCUGGCUACCAGGCCAAAAACUAAAACUCAGGAAUGAAGAAAAGAUCAUCCAACAUCAAGGAACCUCUGGAGGAAUCCGUGAAGAAGAUGAAGGUAACUGAAGGCCCUGGACGAACAGCACAACAGAACAGGGACCAUUCCCACCUGGGGACAGAUGAAGAAGCUUUCUCAAGAAGGCAAUGGAUGUCUAAAGGAAGCCUGGCACCAGUGGCACACACCUGUAAUCCUAGCU